rnacentral:rRNA from 1 species
UACAGAGGUCUUAAGCGUUGUUCGGAUUCAUUGGGCGUAAAGGGUGCGUAGGCGGCGCGGUAAGUCGGAUGUGAAAUCUCGGAGCUUAACUUCGAAACUGCAUUCGAUACUGCCGUGCUUGAGGACUGGAGAGGAGACUGGAAUUUACGGUGUAGCGGUGAAAUGCGUAGAUAUCGUAAGGAAGACCAGUGGCGAAGGCGGGUCUCUGGACAGUUCCUGACGCUGAGGCACGAAGGUCAGGGGAGCAAACGGG